rnacentral:rRNA from 1 species
AUUGAACGCUGGCGGCAUGCCUUACACAUGCAAGUCGAACGGCAGCACGGGUGCUUGCACCUGGUGGCGAGUGGCGAACGGGUGAGUAAUACAUCGGAACAUGUCCUGUAGUGGGGGAUAGCCCGGCGAAAGCCGGAUUAAUACCGCAUACGAUCCACGGAUGAAAGCGGGGGACCUUCGGGCCUCGCGCUAUAGGGUUGGCCGAUGGCUGAUUAGCUAGUUGGUGGGGUAAAGGCCUACCAAGGCGACGAUCAGUAGCUGGUCUGAGAGGACGACCAGCCACACUGGAACUGAGACACGGCCCAGACUCCUACGGGAGGCAGCAGUGGGGAAUUUUGGACAAUGGGCGAAAGCCUGAUCCAGCAAUGCCGCGUGUGUGAAGAAGGCCUUCGGGUUGUAAAGCACUUUUGUCCGGAAAGAAAUCCUUGACUCUAAUACAGUCGGGGGAUGACGGUACCGGAAGAAUAAGCACCGGCUAACUACGUG